CGUCUUUCAUUCGGUUCAGCUAUCGGUGAAUUUCGCUCCGAGCUGCCCUAUGAAGGACUGU
rnacentral:pre_miRNA from 1 species